UUCUGCUGGGGUUUGCAUUCCCGCCUCGGGAAGGGGUGUAGACAGUAAUCCCCACUGGACAAGGAGUUCUAGCCAAGGGGAACUUGGAUUCAGGAUUCCAGAUUGGAUGCUGUUGCCAUCCAGUCCAGCAGGCCCAGCUCAGAUGCCACUCCUUCUCUGGUCUUCCCCUUCCCACCCACCCCAGUCUCUCCUGACUUUCUAUUGUGAGAACCAAAUGAAACCAAGAAGGCAUUAUGCAAUAAUAAUACAAAAUAUAUAUUAAGAUGUAUACAGAAUAUAAAAAGUAAUAACCGUUAUUGUUGUAAGGUAGUGUUGGGAAGGAGAAAAUGAGGAGGGCCUUUGGGGAUUCUGCAACAGAGUGGGGAGAGGAAUUCAAGGAGUAGUCGGCCAGAGAGAGAGAAACACCACACUGGAGGAAGGUCUGAAGGAGAGGGAAUUCAGAAAAGAUGGGCAAAGUACGGGGAGCACAACCAACAAGAAAGAAGCAAGCUGACUUCACCAUGUCCCAGAAAGUUCAUUAUUAGAACAUCCUAUAAACUCCCCCCAACUUUGGUACUCUACCUUAUCAGUACCCUCUGGUCCUCUGAUUGAAUUUACCAUCAGUGUGGUAGCUGACCUUGAUGCCAUGUUCAUCCUCACUGAGCCUAUGAUCAUCCUCAUGUUCAUCCCCAGCCCAGCCUAUGAUCUGUAAUAUCACUAGAAUGAAUGGUUUAUUGAAGUUCUGUCAGGUACUUUGCUCAUAACUAAGUGCUAAACUAAUGUUGAGUUAACGAAAGAAUGGUGUGUGAAGAAGAGAGAUUUUAACUUCAUUUGACUUCUCCCUCCUGCAUUCUCUGCCAACCUAUAUUUUCCUUUGACAACUGGUAUCCCUCCCCAGUGAAGUCAGUUUACUCCCUUUCCCCACUGGCUUUGUCCCUCUGCCUUUAGUGAAUCAAUGAAAGGGCAAAAACAAUCCUCUUCUCCCUAGUCUCACAAAGGGAAGGGUCAGAUCAUAAUCCAAUCCUACCUCCUCCAGGAUCUAAAACUGAAAGGAACCCAGAAAUUUUAUGAUUCUUUUUCUGAUGCAAGGUGACUGAAUAUGGGUCUUGAGAUGUAGCCGUCCAGCCUUUGAGAUGACCUCAUGAAUUAGAGAAGUUCCAGAGAUCCUGGGUCCUCAGGCAGUGCUGACUAUACUUCAGGAGAAGUCCUUAACACCUACUCUAGCCCUCUGUCUGUCUGACCACUCCUUCUUAAGUGUCCUUUGCUAGGUCGUCAACUGUCUCCUACACUUUUAAUGUCUAACUUGGACUUCUUCUUUUUCUUUGCUUUUUCUCUUGGUAUUCUGAUUGGUUUUCAU